rnacentral:rRNA from 1 species
GCUGGCGGCGUGCCUAACACAUGCAAGUCGAACGAGAAAGUGGAGCAAUCCAUGAGUAAAGUGGCGACCGGGUGAGUAACACGUGACUAACCUACCUCCGAGUGGGGAAUAACUCCGGGAAACCGGGGCUAAUACCGCAUAACAUCGCAAGAUCAAAGCAGCAAUGCGCUUGGAGAGGGGGUCGCGGCUGAUUAGCUCGUUGGCGGGGUAACGGCCCACCAAGGCGAAGAUCGGUAUCCGGCCUGAGAGGGCGCACGGACACACUGGAACUGAAACACGGUCCAGACUCCUACGGGAGGCAGCAGUGGGGAAUUUUGCGCAAUGGGGGAAACCCUGACGCAGCAACGCCGCGUGGAGGAUGAAGCCCUUUGGGGCGUAAACUCCUUUCGACUCGGACGAUAAUGACGGUACGAGUGGAAGAAGCACCGGCUAACUCUGUGCCAGCAGCCGCGGUAAUACAGAGGGUGCGAGCGUUGUUCGGAAUUAUUGGGCGU